rnacentral:lncRNA from 1 species
CUGUAUAUGACUUUGUAAAAUAUUCUUUGGGUAAUGGAGUGUUUACUGCACCAGCAUCCAUAUGGAAGAUUCAUCGAAAUAUCUUACAUCCAGUAUUCAAAGAAAAAAUGGUUUCAACUUAUGUGGACUUAAUAGUAAAAAAUUCAAACAGACUAAAUAACAUUUUAGAAACUACUAACGAAAAAAACAUAGAUUUCAUGCAUUACGUACAUCUUUGUACGUUGGACAUCAUAUAUGAUAGCCUAUUGGAAAGUGACUUAAAUUUGCAGAGCGAUCCGGAUUGUAAUCUUGAUAAAUAUAUGUCAAA